ACAGAGGAGGCAAGCGUUGUUCGGAAUCACUGGGCUUAAAGCGGGUGUAGGCGGCUGCGCAAGUGUCCUGUGAAAUCCCACGGCUCAACCGUGGAACUGCAGGGCAAACUGCGUGGCUUGAGGUCGGUAGAGGUGCCUGGAACUCUAGGUGGAGCGGUGAAAUGCGUAGAUAUCUAGAGGAACGCCGGAGGCGAAAGCGGGGCACUGGGCCGAUUCUGACGCUGAGACCCGAAAGCGUGGGGAGCAAACAG
rnacentral:rRNA from 1 species